AGACGUCUGACGGAGCACGCCGCGUGUAUAGAAGAAGGUUUUCGGAUCGUAAAGUACUGUUGUUAGAGAAGAACAAGGAUAAGAGUAACUGCUUGUCCCUUGACGGUAUCUAACCAGAAAGCCACGGCUAACUACGUGCCAGCAGCCGCGGUAAAUAAA
rnacentral:rRNA from 1 species